CCCUCGUGCUGAAUCUUGUAAGUAUAGAACAUAUAUCUAGACCUUGUCAAUUUAAAACAAGAACUUGGAUGAUUGGAUCCAAAGUGAAGGUUACGUACUAUUUUGUAUUAUAUUAAAAGAACAGGGAGUUUUGGUCUGAGCUUGUUGGUUUAAACUAGAUAAGUAUUAUGGUUGCCCUGCUUCCUGUGUAGCGUAUAUUCCCUCCUCAAAAAAAAUUUAUAUAUAUAUAUAUAUAUUUG
rnacentral:lncRNA from 1 species